CUGAUUUAACACAAAAGCUUCUGCAGUGAUUUGAUAAAUAUUUGGUUCUUUAUUUUACAAAAAAUCUGAAAAAUGCAUUUUUACCUACAAAACUCAAAAACAGAUUCAAACCCAUUAUCCCCUUUAUAUCAUUUUUUUGUUUGAGAUAUGUUUAUAUGCAAGAUAGUAAAGCAAGUGUUGUGAACAUACUUGGCAAGUUAGCGUUAUUGGCCACCUUCGAUAUUCAGUGUCUUUAAAUGAGUUCUUUGUGUUUUUUAUUCUAUUAAUCAGUGCAUUCUCUAUGCAAAACAGUUUUGUAACAGAAAAUGUGUAUGCUUAUUUUAUUUAAUAUAUAAAUAUAAUGUAACCAUUAUUAGAACAAAGUAUUUAUUGUACUUGAAGUGUAUUUUUUAAGUGUACUUGAAGAAUAAUACAUGUAUGUAUUCAUUACAAUCUAUAAGCACCUCUUACAGCUGAUAUUGUUAAAGUCUGGGCCACUCUUAUGACUGUUAUAAACGAUUAACAAGGAUUCAAAACACAGGCACUUUGGGAAUGAACUGCCUUAUUUUUAAAUAUCAUUUUUU
rnacentral:lncRNA from 1 species